CGUUAGGGAGCGUGGGAGCGGCGUCUCUGGUUACGGGGUCGGGCAAAGGUUAAAGGGCAGCCUCCGAGUUGGAGAGCGCGGACUUUGAGCAAUGGCCGCGUCUGGGGAACCCGGGAAGCAGAAGCAGGAGGACGUGGCGGCAGUUGUGGUGGUGGGCUCCUGCAUGACCGACCUGGUCAGCCUGACUUCUCGUUUGCCAAAAACUGGAGAAACCGUCCAUGGACAUAAGUUUUUUAUUGGCUUUGGAGGGAAAGGUGCCAACCAGUGUGUCCAGGCUGCUCGGCUUGGAGCAAAAACGUCCAUGGUGUGCAAGGUUGGCAAAGACUCCUUUGGCAAUAACUAUAUAGAAAAUUUAAAACAGAAUGGUAUUUCUACAGAAUUUACAUAUCAGACUAAAGAUGCUGCGACAGGAACUGCUUCUAUAAUUGUCAAUAAUGAAGGCCAGAAUAUCAUCGUCAUAGUGGCUGGAGCAAAUUUACUUUUGAAUACUGAAGACCUGAGGGAAGCAGCCAGUGCCAUUAGCAGAGCCAAAGUAAUGAUCUGCCAGCUAGAAGUAGCUCCGGCAACUUCUUUGGAAGCCCUGACAAUAGCCCAUAGCAAUGGAGUGAAAACAUUGUUCAACCCAGCUCCUGCCAUGGCUGACCUGGACCCCAGGUUCUACACCCUCUCAGAUGUGUUCUGCUGCAAUGAAAGUGAGGCUGAGAUUCUGACCGGCCUGGAGGUCAGCAGCCCAGAGGAUGCUGGGAAAGCAGCGCUGGUGCUCACGGAAAGGGGCUGCCGGGUCGUAAUCGUCACCUUAGGUGCUGAAGGAUGUGUGAUGCUGUCACAGACAGAACCUGUCCCAAAGCACAUCCCUACAGAGAAAGUCAAGGCUGUGGAUACCACGGGAAGGCCGGAAGGUUGAGGAUGGAAAGGACAUGAUGUCAUCCUUAUGAUGUGAAUAUGCGCUGAUAAGAAAAGAGAGAAAUAUUCAGAUUUGCGCUGUGAAACGGAGCUCUUGUGAAAGCAGCAUCCUAUCUCGUGGGUGCUGGUGACAGUUUUGUGGGAGCUUUGGCCUUCUACCUGGCUUACUACCCAAAUCUGUCCUUGGAAGAAAUGCUCAAGAGAUCCAAUUUCAUCGCAGCAGUCAGUGUCCAGGCCACAGGAACACAGU